UACGUAGGGGGCAAGCGUUGUCCGGAAUCAUUGGGCGUAAAGCGCGUGUAGGCGGUCCGGUAAGUCGGCUGUGAAAGUCCAGGGCUCAACCCUGGGAUGCCGGUCGAUACUGCCGGACUAGAGUUCGGAAGAGGCGAGUGGAAUUCCCGGUGUAGCGGUGAAAUGCGCAGAUAUCAGGAGGAACACCGGUGGCGAAGGCGGAUCGCUGGGCCAUUCCUGA
rnacentral:rRNA from 1 species